rnacentral:rRNA from 1 species
UACCUCAGUAACGGCGAGUGAAGCGGUAACAGCUCAAAUUUGAAAUCUGGCUCUUUCAGAGUCCGAGUUGUAAUUUGUAGAAGAUGCUUUGGGUGUGGCUCCGGUCUAAGUUCCUUGGAACAGGACGUCAUAGAGGGUGAGAAUCCCGUAUGUGACUGGCUGCCUUCGCCUAUGUAAAGCUCUUUCGACGAGUCGAGUUGUUUGGGAAUGCAGCUCUAAAUGGGAGGUAUAUUUCUUCUAAAGCUAAAUAUUGGCCAGAGACCGAUAGCGCACAAGUAGAGUGAUCGAAAGAUGAAAAGCACUUUGGAAAGAGAGUUAAACAGUACGUGAAAUUGUUGAAAGGGAAGCGCUUGCAACCAGACUUGCCUGCCGUCGAUCAUCCUGGGUUCUCCCUGGUGCACUUGGCGGUGGUCAGGCCAGCAUCGGUUUCGGUGGUGGGAUAAAGGCCUUGGGAACGUAGCUCCUCUCGGGGAGUGUUAUAGCCCUCGGUGCAAUGCCGCCUACUGGGACCGAGGACCGCGCUUCGGCUAGGAUGCUGGCGUAAUGGUUGUAAGCGACCCGUCUUGAAACACGGACCAAGGAGUCUAACAUCUAUGCGAGUGUUUGGGUGUUAAACCCAUACGCGUAAUUAACGUGAACGGAGGUGAGAACCCUUUAGGGUGCAUCAUCGACCGAUCCUGAUGUCUUCGGAUGGAUUUGAGUAAGAGCAUAGCUGUUGGGACCCGAAAGAUGGUGAACUAUGCCUAAAUAGGGUGAAGCCAGAGGAAACUCUGGUGGAGGCUCGCAGCGGUUCUGACGUGCAAAUCGAUCGUCAAAUUUGGGUAUAGGGGCGAAAGACUAAUCGAACCAUUGGAACAUACUAGGUGGGCAAAAGCUAGGGCUCUUCGGGGUCUUUAGCUAGUUCGCGGCAGCGCGAGCAACACUGUCAAAUUGCGGGGACCUCCUAACGACGUAUCGCUACCGCAGCCCUGGUGAAAGCCAGGGUGCGCACCGGGUUAAUGACCUUGGGGAUGGUAAGAACGCGGUACCGAAGGACGACCUGCAGCCAAGCCCUAGCCACGGGUGCAGUUCACAGACUAAAUGUCAGUGGGGCUUCUCAGCCUUAAGUCAUAGUCGAUCCCC